AUCAUUCACAAACACUUUUUUAUCAUCCUUUAUGGAUUUUAUAUUAUCUAAAUCUCUACUCUUCUUUUUUUAUCUCAUGUAAUUGAUAAAAAUUCUUUUCUCAAUGAUCCUUAAUAUACCAUAAGAACUAUUAUAAGCCUUGUAGUUCCCGAAACCUUUUAACUUAUUUUAUUGGCCUUUUCUUAGCUAUUACGUAUCUUCAAAAAUUUUCCUCAAAAUACAUUUUUAUUAAAAUUUAAAGCAUGGUUGGACGUAUCAUUCAAAAUGGUACAAAAUGGGUGGUACAUAGCUUCUUGAUUUGCCCUGACCGGAAGAUAUGGAGUAAAAAAAAAUUGAAAUCUAGAUCAUUAUUUGUGUUCUGGAAUAAAAAAAUCAACACUCUAGCAAGUACAAAAAGAAACAUAAGAAUAGACAGCCACAAAAUUGACUAUUAUUUAUAUGCAGGCAUGGCAUCCUUGUGAAUCAAAAUUGUGCCACUAUGAAGACAUUUGACUUCUUUGAUUUUCUGUUCACAAAGAGGGAGCAAGGACCACCUUAUCAUGUUCCAAGAUAGAUAACUUAUGUGUUCUUGUUUUCAUCUCAUGUACCUUGGUGAUCUGUACCCUAGGUUACAUAGAAUUGUAUUGGUCAUCUUAAAGUACAAGACCCGCUAACUUAAAUUGUGGUUGUCCCUCUGAUGUGAGACCAUUUGGUGACUGACCAUAUUUAGCUCAGCUAAUUAGUUAGGAUAUCAAGUGGUUUCUAAGUUUCUACUUUAAUGCAAUAUACCUAUUUGGAUCUGAUCAUUUUUCCGACCACGCUAUUUCUCAUUACCUGAUCCUCUAUUGUUUUUUUUUUGUAUUCAUAAUCUACUCUUUUCUUCUAAAUCCUUGAGCUUCAUCUUCUGCCUCCCUUUUUCCUUAAAUUCCCUUCUGUUUUCCUUUAUAUUCUGUGUCUGAGUUGCUAUGCAUUUAGGGGCUACAUACUUUGAUGAGUUGUUAGGUCCUAAACCCUGAAUCAAACACAAGCAGCCAAUUGAUUGGGUUGGUCAGAAUCUAUUGAGUGAGAAAAAAUAAGGACCCAGAUCCAAUCUUUUUCUUGGCAGGUUUCAAUUGUUCAACACAUUCAAUCAAAUAUGGCAACUUUUUUCAUACUAUCGAUUGUUCAACAAAUACCAGUAAAAUUGUAUUCAACUAGAUUGGAGCUUCUCGCUCUUGUUGACUGAUGCAGACACUUGAACAAGCUCUUAAAUAAUCAUUUGCCUAGGCUUAGAGUUCCUCAGAUGCUUUUGGUAAAAAUGGGCAAAAGGGAGUGAACAAAACAAGGAUAAUUCUUUACUAGCAUUCCUUGGACAUGUCAUUGUCUUGAGAGAGAGUGACCCAUGUUGAGUAUCUAUAUGAACCUACAUUCUGCUUUUUGUUUAUGGUCCCUUCUACUUUACCCUUGAUUUUUUUUCAUGGAAAACUGCUUGUUACUUGCUUUAUCAAAUUAUGAAUUAUCAUCUGUAAUGAAAAUAUAAAAUAGCACUGAAGUAAACGAGCAUAAGAAAAUAUGUGAAUAAACCCACCUACUGACACCUCCAUAUUUGUGUAAAAUGGCAUUUUGAUGGUACAUCUUGUGCUUCUUUCAUAUCUAUGAAACCCGAUUAAUCAUCUAGUAGUGAUUAUUAUAUUGCACUGAGAAAAUUUGUGAUUAUUAUAUUGUAACAUCUUUUCUAGACUUGUCCGAUCAAUUUGGGUCACAUAGAUCGAUUCAUUCUUGUGUCUUGAACCAAUUUAAAGUCAUUUUCAUAAUCAAAUAAGCUUAACAUAUCUUCUAGACUUUUGAACUUCUAUUUCACUUGGUUAUGAUAUACCCUUUGGUGUCUUCUCUUCUUGUUAAAUUAUAAUUGAGUACAUGUUAUAUGUCAGUUUAUACUUGAGAGCUACUGGUGAAUCUAGGUGACCAUUCUUGAACAGAAGUUGAGUGCUACCCUAAUCAGGACAAUAAUUUGCAGUCUGGGAACCAACUAGAAGCCUAAUCUAAUCCCUUUUCUUGAUAUAAGUAUUUUGGCAUCAGUAUCUAUGGGGAAGAACUUUCAAGCCUUAAAACCUAAGCUUUAUUUGUUUGAUCGUAAUGAUCAUACAUAUGAAUCUACAUAAAUGGAAUUGAACUAAUCUAGAGGAAUGUGUUGCUUUUUUUCAAACAUCACCUAAUACCAAAUUCUUGAAGCAAUUAGGAUUUUUAAACUUGUAUUGGAUGUCAUAGGGUUGAAUUAUGAAUAAAGUUAUAGGAGUAAAGAUAAGAUAUGGGGGGAACAAUUUUGGAGACUUCAAAAUUAAUCGAAAAAGAAUUACAACGUGAAUCUUGAAGCAAUAAUAAUCAUACGUUCAUAAUUUCAGGUAUGUUUCAGAAGUUAGAAUCAUGUAAUAUAAUUUACAUGCAACUAGUCUUUUGUUUUUGGGUUAAGAUCCAUUUUAGCUCCUGUGAUUUUAGUCAUGAACCACUUAAGCCCUUAUAGUUUACUCGUGUCUAAAAUAACCUAUAUAAUUUCAAAAAACGUAGUAUAUAAGUCCCUCAUAUCAAGUCUAAGUUAACAGACGUUAGAGUUUGCUUAUGUUGCAUGUUGACUCACAAUAAAUCAUUAAUAUAAUGACACGUAUAAUUUAAGUUUAAAAAAUGGUUAAGAUCCAUUUUAGCCCCUAUGAUUUUGGCUAUGGACCACUUAAGCCCUUAUAAUUUAUUUGUGUCUAAAAUAACUCCUAUAUUUUAAAAAACGUAGCAUAUAAGCCUUUUUCGUCAAGUCUGAGUUAACAGACGUAAGAGUUUACUUACGUGGCAUGCUGACUCGCAGUAAACCAUUAAUAUAAUGACACAUGUAACUUAAGUUUAAAAAAAAACUGAGACCACAAUUAAUGGCAGGAGGAGGCGUCGUCGUGGAAGCGACCACCAACAGCAGCACUGAGCCGCUGCUACCUAGUAGGGCGUCGUACACAUGCAGCCUCUCCCAUGUUAACGACGGGUUCAGUAGCUUCCAGUUUUGUCUCAGGUGGAUGUGCGUCGACCAGUCCGUUGCUAGGCACACGGUGGUCUCCUGGUUCUUCUUCCUCCUCCUAGGCGUCUUCGUCCCCAUCGCCUCCCAUAUCGUUCUCUCUUGCCCCCCACCCGUCGUGCUUAUGACGUGGUGGUCCAGCUCUCUCUUACUUCUGCCUCUAGCCUCUCUUACCUUUAUCUCUCCUCCUUUAUUCGUUGCUUUCUCUUCCUCGACAAGAUGGACCUUAACCCUUUUAAAAACUUAAAUUAUAUGUGUCAUUAUAUUGAUGAUUUAUUGUGAGUCAGCAUGCCACGUAAGCAGAAUCUAACGUUUGUUAACUCAGAUU
rnacentral:lncRNA from 1 species